GGGGCGGCUGGUAUUCGGGCACGUUUCGAUGGACGCUAAUACCGCAUACGUCCUACGGGAGAAAGUGGGGGAUCUUCGGACCUCACGCUAUCGGAUGAGCCUAGGUCGGAUUAGCUAGUUGGUGAGGUAAUGGCUCACCAAGGCUACGAUCCGUAACUGGUCUGAGAGGAUGAUCAGUCACACUGGAACUGAGACACGGUCCAGACUCCUACGGGAGGCAGCAGUGGGGAAUAUUGGACAAUGGGCGAAAGCCUGAUCCAGCCAUGCCGCGUGUGUGAAGAAGGUCUUCGGAUUGUAAAGCACUUUAAGUUGGGAGGAAGGGCUGUAGGCUAAUAUCCUGCAGUUUUGACGUUACCGACAGAAUAAGCACCGGCUAACUUCGUGCCAGCAGCCGCGGUAAUACGAAGGGUGCAAGCGUUAAUCGGAAUUACUGGGCGUAAAGCGCGCGUAGGCGGUUUGCUAAGUUGGAGGUGAAGGCCCCGGGCUCAACCUGGGAACUGCCUCCAAAACUGGCUGACUAGAGUACGGUAGAGGGUGGUGGAAUUUCCUGUGUAGCGGUGAAAUGCGUAGAUAUAGGAAGGAACACCAGUGA
rnacentral:rRNA from 1 species